UUAAAGGUCACAUAUUAUACUCCAUUUAAACUAGUUAUUAUAGGUCUCAGACACCUCCAAACCAUGUCUCUGAAGUUUUUUUUUCAAAAAAACAAUCAGAUCAUGCAUUCCAGCAUGUCUCUAUAACCUCUGUUUCAGCCCAUUUCCAAAAGUGCUGAUUUCUGUGUCUGUAGCUUUAAAUGAGAAUGAGCUGCUGCGCCCCACCCCCUCUGCGGAACCGGCUGUAGCUCUCCGCCCCAUCCCCCCCGCCCCUCGGCUUGAUACCUUGGUAACAGUAAACAACUCUGAAUGUUAUAAUGACAACAGCUAUGAAUAUGACUGUUCAGUUUGACCCUGAGUCGAACACCGACUCAAACUAUGAAGAGGAAGAGGCCCCAGCAGCAGCAGCACUUCCACCUCGAAUGCAGCAAGACAUUUCACAAUGGUUAGUUCAACUUGUUGUGUAACUUUAUGUAUGGGUUAGCACGGAGGCUAACGGUAGCUAACGUCAGCUCUAAUGCUACUUUCACGGCUCUGUAGGUAACGUUAUUGUGAGGUAUUUGGUCAAUAACCAAUUUUGUAAUUUGUGUAAUUUAGUGAACGUUAGGCUCUACGUACGUUGCAUGUUUUUCAAUUGGUAAGGUAUAUUUUACUUGAUAUAUCCCGAAUAUUCUAUCAUAUUGUGCGAUAAAAAUGUGUGGUGAAAAAAGCUUACUGCUCAUUCACCUCAGCUUUUUUGCAUCUUCUGUCAGGUUUAUAGUAUCAUAUGCUUCACAUGUUGAAAUGCUCACAUUUUUUAUUUAUUUGUUCAGGUGCACAUGUGGAAAUUGUGCAAAAAUGCCCACAGAACCUGAGAAUAUCUGCUGCUGGGAGACACAAAAGGUUAAAAGACGGAUGGAGCAGCUGCCGGACAACAUCUCCUGCAUGAUUGAACAUCCUGGGUUGGACCCUGUAUGUUUAAAUUUGUUCACGAUGCAAAACGCAUAUAAUGUUUACAGGGCUGAAUAUGGUGCUUUGCACCAAAGGGCGAUAGAGCGGUAAGUGGUUUCUUACUUAUUUGAUCAUCAUAAUUUUAAUCAAAAAGUACAAUUAAAUGCUAAUGUUGUUCAUGAAAAUAAAUACCUGUAUGUUAAAUUUUA